rnacentral:rRNA from 1 species
GAUGAACGCUGGCGGCGUGCCUAAUACAUGCAAGUCGAGCGAACGGACGAGAAGCUUGCUUCUCUGAUGUUAGCGGCGGACGGGUGAGUAACACGUGGAUAACCUACCUAUAAGACUGGGAUAACUUCGGGAAACCGUAGCUAAUACCGUAUAAUAUUUUGAACCGCAUGGUUCAAAAGUUAAAUACGGUCUUGCUGUCACUUAUAGAUGGAUCCGCGCUGCAUUAGCUAGUUGGUAAGGUAACGGCUUACCAAGGCAACGAUGCAUAGCCGACCUGAGAGGGUGAUAGGCCACACUGGAACUGAGACACGGUCCAGACUCCUACGGGAGGCAGCAGUAAGGAAUCUUCCGCAAUGGGCGAAAGCCUGACAGAGCAACGCCGCGUGAGUGAUGACGGUCUUCGGAUCGUAAAGCUCUGUUAUUAGGGAAGAACAUAUGUGUAAGUAACUGUGCACAUCUUGACGGUACCUAAUCAGAAAGCAACGGCUAACUACGUG